CCCCUUGAGAGUGGCGAACGGGUGAGUAAUAUAUCGGAACGUGCCCAGUCGUGGGGGAUAACGUAGUGAAAAUUACGCUAAUACCGCAUACGAUCUAAGGAUGAAAGCGGGGGAUCGCAAGACCUCGCGCGAUUGGAGCGGCCGAUAUCAGAUUAGGUAGUUGGUAGGGUAAAGGCCUACCAAGCCAACGAUCUGUAGCUGGUCUGAGAGGACGACCAGCCACACUGGAACUGAGACACGGUCCAGACUCCUACGGGAGGCAGCAGUGGGGAAUUUUGGACAAUGGGCGAAAGCCUGAUCCAGCCAUUCCGCGUGCAGGAUGAAGGCCCUCGGGUUGUAAACUGCUUUUGUACAGAACGAAAAGGUCUCUAUUAAUACUAGGGGCUCAUGACGGUACUGUAAGAAUAAGCACCGGCUAACUACGUGCCAGCAGCCGCGGUAAUACGUA
rnacentral:rRNA from 1 species